UUAGUUAGUAGGAAAGGAUAUUGUCUUGAUAUCCAGGGUUUCCAUUUAAAAUACGUGGUUCUAAAAACCAAUAUCUUCAAUAAAAGAGAGGUGAUGUCAUCCUCAA